rnacentral:rRNA from 1 species
UGAGGAAUAUUGGGCAAUGCCCGCAAGGGUGACCCAGCAACGCCGCGUGGAGGAUGAAUGUCGUAAGAUUGUAAACUCCUGUUAGAGGGGAAGAAUAGUACCGGUUGAACCAGUAUAUGACUGUACCCUCAGAGAAAGCCCCGGCUAACUACGUGCCAGCAGCCGCGGUAAUACGUAGGGGGCAAGCGUUGUCCGGAUUUACUGGGUGUAAAGGGCGCGCAGGCGGGAUAAAAAGUCAGUGGUGAAAUCCUACAGCUUAACUGUAGAACUGCCUUUGAUACUUUUAUUCUUGAGUUCGGGAGAGAGAGACGGAAUUCCAGGUGUAGUGGUGAAAUACGUAGAUAUCUGGAAGAACACCAGUUGCGAAGGCGGUCUCUUGGUCCGACACUGACGCUGAGGCGCGAAAGCGUGGG